AUUGAACGCUGGCGGCAGGCCUAACACAUGCAAGUCGAACGAGUGGCGGACGGGUGAGUAAUGUCUGGGAAACUGCCUGAUGGAGGGGGAUAACUACUGGAAACGGUAGCUAAUACCGCAUACCAUCGGAUGUGCCCAGAUGGGAUUAGCUAGUAGGGGGGGUAACGGCUCACCAAGGCGACGAUCCCUAGCUGGUCUGAGAGGAUGACCAGCCACACUGGAACUGAGACACGGUCCAGACUCCUACGGGAGGCAGAAGUGGGGAAUAUUGCACAAUGGGCGCAAGCCUGAUGCAGCCAUGCCGCGUGUAUGAAGAAGGCCUUCGGGUUGUAAAGUGCUUUCAGCGGGGAGGCGUUACCCACAGAAGAAGCACCGGCUAACUCCGUGCCAGCAGCCGCGGUAAUAC
rnacentral:rRNA from 1 species